rnacentral:tRNA from 1 species
GUCCAUGGCUCAGUGGCAGAGCACAUACUUUGCAAGUAGAAGACCUCAGGUUCAGUUCCUGACAUCUCCA